rnacentral:rRNA from 1 species
AACGUGCCCAGGAGUGGGGGACAACCUCGAGAAAUCAAGGCUAAUACCGCAUACGUCCUGAGGGAGAAAGCCGGGGGAUUCGCAAGGACCUCGCGCUCAUGGAGCGGCCGAUGUCGGAUUAGCUAGUUGGCGGGGUAAAAGCCCACCAAGGGCUACGAUCCGUAGCUGGUUUGAGAGAACGACCAGCCACACUGGGACUGAGACACGGCCCANACUCCUACGGGAGGCAGCANUGGGGAAUUUUGGACAAU